UACGAAGGGUGCAAGCGUUAUUCGGAAUUACUGGGCGUAAAGCGUGCGUAGGCGGUUUGUUAAGUCUGAUGUGAAAGCUCUGGGCUCAACCUGGGAAUUGCAUUGGAUACUGGCAGGCUAGAGUGCGGUAGAGGAUGGCGGAAUUCCCGGUGUAGCAGUGAAAUGCGUAGAGAUCGGGAGGAACAUCUGUGGCGAAGGCGGCCAUCUGGACCAGCACUGACACUGAGGCACGAAAGCGUGGGGAGCAAACAGG
rnacentral:rRNA from 1 species